UAAUACGUAGGGUGCAAGCGUUAUCCGGAAUUAUUGGGCGUAAAGAGCUCGUAGGCGGUUUGUCACGUCUGCUGUGAAAACUGGAGGCUCAACCUCCAGCCUGCAGUGGGUACGGGCAGACUAGAGUGCGGUAGGGGAGAUUGGAAUUCCUGGUGUAGCGGUGGAAUGCGCAGAUAUCAGGAGGAACACCGAUGGCGAAGGCAGAUCUCUGGGCCGUAACUGACGCUGAGGAGCGAAAGCAUGGGGAGCGAACAGG
rnacentral:rRNA from 1 species